rnacentral:rRNA from 1 species
AAAGAUUUAUCGCUCUUGGAUCGGCCUGCUUAGUAUCAGCUUGUUGGUAGUGUAAUGGACUACCAAGGCUAUGACGCUUAGGGGAGGUGAGAGCCUGACCCCCACCAAUGGCACUGAGACACGGUCCAGACUCCUACGGGAGGCAGCAGUGAGGAAUAUUGGACAAUGGGGGCAACCCUGACGCAGCGAUGCCGCGUGAGUGAAGAAGGCCUUAGGGUUGUAAAGCUCUUUCAAUAGUGAAGAUAAUGACGGUAGCUAUAGAAGAAGCUCCGGCUAAAUUCGUGCCAGCAGCCGCGGUAAUACGAAUGGAGCAAGCGUUGUUCGGAAUCACUGGGCUUAAAGCGUAUGUAGGCGGACUAGCAAGUCAGGAGUGAAAUCCCAGGGCUCAACCCUGGAACUGCUCUUGAAACUGCAAGUCUAGAAUCCUGGAGAGGUUGGGAGAAUUCCUAGUGUAGAGGUGAAAUUCGCAGAUAUUAGGAGGAAUACCAGUGGCGUAGGCGCCCAACUGGACAGGUAUUGACGCUCAGAUACGAAAGCGUGGGGAGCAAACAGGAUUAGAUAC